UGNGGAAUUUUGGACAAUGGGCGAAAGCCUGAUCCAGCAAUGCCGCGUGUGUGAAGAAGGCCUUCGGGUUGUAAAGCACUUUUGUCCGGAAAGAAAUCCUUGGCUCUAAUACAGUCGGGGGAUGACGGUACCGGAAGAAUAAGCACCGGCUAACUACGUGCCAGCAGCCGCGGUAAUACGUAGGUGGCAAGCGUUGUCCGGAUUUACUGGGCGUAAAGGAUGCGUAGGCGGAUUUUUAAGUGAGAUGUGAAAACCCUAAGCUUAACUUGGGGACUGCAUUUCAUACUGGGAAAAUCUAGAGUGCGGGAGAGGAGAAUGGAAUUCCUAGUGUAGCGGUGAAAUGCGUAGAGAUGUGGAGGAAUACCGAUGGCGAAGGCAGCCCCCUGGGCCAAUACUGACGCUCAUGCACGAAAGCGUGGGGAGCAAACAGGAUUAGAUACCCUGGUAGUCCACGCCCUAAACGAUGUCAACUAGUUGUUGGGGAUUCAUUUCCUUAGUAACGUAGCUAACGCGUGAAGUUGACCGCCUGGGGAGUACGGUCGCAAGAUUAAAACUCAAAUGAAUUGACGGGGUCAUAGCUGUUU
rnacentral:rRNA from 1 species